rnacentral:rRNA from 1 species
AACGAACGCUGGCGGCAGGCCUAACACAUGCAAGUCGAGCGGACCUUUCGGGGUCAGCGGCGGACGGGUGAGUAACGCGUGGGAAUAUGCCCUUCUCUACGGAAUAGUCCUGGGAAACUGGGGGUAAUACCGUAUACGCCCUUUGGGGGAAAGAUUUAUCGGGGAAGGAUUAGCCCGCGUUGGAUUAGGUAGUUGGUGGGGUAAUGGCCUACCAAGCCGACGAUCCAUAGCUGGUUUGAGAGGAUGAUCAGCCACACUGGGACUGAGACACGGCCCCGACUCCUACGGGAGGCAGCAGUGGGGAAUCUUAGACAAUGGGGGCAACCCUGAUCUAGCCAUGCCGCGUGAGUGAUGAAGGCCUUAGGGUUGUAAAGCUCUUUCAGCUGGGAAGAUAAUGACGGUACCAGCAGAAGAAGCCCCGGCUAACUCCGUG